rnacentral:misc_RNA from 1 species
UAUUCCUGACCUCUGUCCCGUCCCAGAAGCGCGAGCGAUCGGACGUGAGUCGCUUGCCGUCUUGAAGUUUUGACGCAUUUAUGAAGAAAUGUCGAGGUUAAGAUAUACUCUAGUUGCCGUGCGUGGCAUGAUUUUAAGUUCCAAGUUGCGCGGAACUAACUUAGACGUCGGCGCACGUGCAGCGACAGCGGUGAGUACCCAAACUCCGCUCCGAUCCCUGUGCACAACAUGUCUGCUUCGCAAAGCCGAGGAUAGGAAGGCAAUGAUGGCGUCUCUGCCUAAGAAAGACGAGGGCACGCUUGGGGAGAAGUUGGUGGACGUCGAUCCGUCGCACGCGCGGUGGUCCAUGUUUCCAGAUGAAGACACACCCGAUAUGUUGUUCGACGGCGUUCCUUUUCGGGACCUUCCAAUCUGCCACAUCAAGUGCAGCCUGAACAACACACUGAUGACCCUCACCGACUCAUCAGGUCCGUGAGAUGAAGGAAAAUGCCUUGGAAGAAAAUCUGGUGGCACUGAAGGAUACAAGAAUGCCAAGAAGGGUACCACUGUUGCUGCACAAGCUGCAGCUAUGAGCUUUAGCCAUGUGGCCCAGCUGAGGGACAUCAAGAACAUCCGGGUGAUAGUCAAGGGCCUUGGACCUGGCAGGCUGGCGUCCAUCAAAGGCCUCCAAAUGGGUGGCCUCACCGUGGUUUCCAUCACCGACCGAACACCAGCGCCCGAGAAGUGUCCAAGACCACGCAAAGCCAAGAGGCUUUGACGUACCACGCUGUACCAAUUAGUGUUGUAAAUAAAAA